rnacentral:ncRNA from 2 species
AUAGCUUUUCGGGACUGACGGAUUAGUGGAGCACCACGUGGACCGAGAAGCCGAAGCUGCCGACCGUCUGGGCAUAUUUA